UACGUAGGGUGCGAGCGUUAAUCGGCAUUACUGGGCGUAAAGCGUGCGCAGGCGGUUCGCUGUGUCCCGUGUGAAAGCCCCGGGCUUAACCUGGGAAUGGCAUGGGAAACUGGCGAGCUUGAGUGCGGCAGAGGGGGGUGGAAUUCCGCGUGUAGCAGUGAAAUGCGUAGAGAUGCGGAGGAACACCGAUGGCGAAGGCAGCCCCCUGGGUCGACACUGACGCUCAGGCACGAAAGCGUGGGGAGCAAACAGG
rnacentral:rRNA from 1 species